AGAGUUUGAUCCUGGCUCAGGAUGAACGCUGGCGGCGUGCCUAAUACAUGCAAGUCGAACGAAACUUCUUUAUCACCGAGUGCUUGCACUCACCGAUAAAGAGUUGAGUGGCGAACGGGUGAGUAACACGUGGGCAACCUGCCCAAAAGAGGGGGAUAACACUUGGAAACAGGUGCUAAUACCGCAUAACCAUAGUUACCGCAUGGUAACUAUGUAAAAGGUGGCUAUGCUACCGCUUUUGGAUGGGCCCGCGGCGCAUUAGCUAGUUGGUGAGGUAAAGGCUUACCAAGGCAAUGAUGCGUAGCCGAACUGAGAGGUUGAUCGGCCACAUUGGGACUGAGACACGGCCCAGACUCCUACGGGAGGCAGCAGUGGGGAAUAUUGCACAAUGGGCGCAAGCCUGAUGCAGCGACGCCGCGUGAGGGAUGGAGGCCUUCGGGUUGUAAACCUCUUUUAUCGGGGAGCAAGCGAGAGUGAGUUUACCCGUUGAAUAAGCACCGGCUAACUACGUGCCAGCAGCCGCGGUAAUACGUAGGUGGCAAGCGUUAUCCGGAUUUAUUGGGCGUAAAGGGAACGCAGGCGGUCUUUUAAGUCUGAUGUGAAAGCCUUCGGCUUAACCGGAGUAGUGCAUUGGAAACUGGGAGACUUGAGUGCAGAAGAGGAGAGUGGAACUCCAUGUGUAGCGGUGAAAUGCGUAGAUAUAUGGAAGAACACCAGUGGCGAAAGCGGCUCUCUGGUCUGUAACUGACGCUGAGGUUCGAAAGCGUGGGUAGCAAACAGGAUUAGAUACCCUGGUAGUCCACGCCGUAAACGAUGAAUGCUAAGUGUUGGAGGGUUUCCGCCCUUCAGUGCUGCAGCUAACGCAAUAAGCAUUCCGCCUGGGGAGUACGACCGCAAGGUUGAAACUCAAAGGAAUUGACGGGGGCCCGCACAAGCGGAGGAACAUGUGGUUUAAUUCGAUGAUACGCGAGGAACCUUACCCGGGCUUGAAUUGCAGAGGAAGGAUUUGGAGACAAUGACGCCCUUCGGGGCCUCUGUGA
rnacentral:rRNA from 1 species